GACGAACGCUGGCGGCGUGCCUAAUACAUGCAAGUUGAGCGCUGAAGGUUGGUACUUGUACCAACUGGAUGAGCAGCGAACGGGUGAGUAACGCGUGGGGAAUCUGCCUUUGAGCGGGGGACAACAUUUGGAAACGAAUGCUAAUACCGCAUAAAAACUUUAAACACAAGUUUUAAGUUUGAAAGAUGCAAUUGCAUCACUCAAAGAUGAUCCCGCGUUGUAUUAGCUAGUUGGUGAGGUAAAGGCUCACCAAGGCGAUGAUACAUAGCCGACCUGAGAGGGUGAUCGGCCACAUUGGGACUGAGACACGGCCCAACCUCCUACGGGCGGCAGCAGUAGGGAAUCUUCGGCAAUGGACGAAAGUCUGACCGAGCAACGCCGCGUGAGUGAAGAAGGUUUUCGGAUCGUAAAACUCUGUUGGUAGAGAAGAACGUUGGUGAGAGUGGAAAGCUCAUCAAGUGACGGUAACUACCCAGAAAGGGACGGCUAACUACGUG
rnacentral:rRNA from 1 species